ensembl:lncRNA
GUACAUUUCUGCUCACGUGUUAACUAAUGAAUUGUUUGUUAAUGUUUUGGUCACAUCAUGAGUUUAAUUAACACUGUGAGACUUUUAUGACAUAUAGGAUAUAUGUUAUAUAGCUAGCUGCACUUUAUGACAUAUAGCUAGCUGCAUUGCAAGGCUGAAGUGAUGAGAGAGAAGCCCUACAGACAUGAUGCUGGUUAAGAAGGAGCAGAAAGAUGCCGAGCUGGAUAGGAAGAUUGAGGCGUUGCGAAAGAAGAACGAGGCCCUUAUGAAGCGCUAUCAGGAGGUGGAGGAGGAUAAGAAACGGGGCGGAGCAGGAGGGCAUGGCAAUGCAGAGCCGCAAAGGGAAGGUUGAGGACCUGACCAUCACCAUCAACAAGUCCCCAACUAAGCGUGUUGUAACCAAGAAGGGUUGGGAGAUGCAAUUCCUAAAGGGGUGAAGAACCAGGAGGACGUGUCCGACAUUUUUAGUGCUGGCCGUGGUAAAAGGAGGCAGCUUCUAGUCACUGCACCAGGAAACACUAAGGCAAGCUUGGCAUCGGGUCCAUAUAAUGUGUAUGAAUAGGAAUAUUGAUGACUUGAUCCCUGUUCUGGAUGUUGUUGGUUUGCC